AGAACAUUCUAUGGACCAACUGAUCAAUUUCUCUAACAAGUCAAUGGCUUGCGGAAAAAGGGGAAAAUGAAUGUUACUGCUAACAUUUGACAUCAAUCACCCAAUCACAUGUUGUCACAUCAUUACUCAGCUCUGUGACAAAGGCAGAAGAGAGAGACCACGGCUGAAAUGGCGCUCUUGGUGUAGAAGCUGCAGCACAGAACCGUGAAGACACUCACCCUGAGUCACACAGCCGGGACUCAGCCGGCCGGCAGCCCUGGGGUCUCCCUGCUCUGAGCCUCCAUCACACAGCCCUGCUGCCUUGACCACAGCUCACCGUCCAGAGACCCGCUUCGUCUUUGCAGUUCGUGCAAACGCAGACACACCCCAUCCGGUGCUCUGAGCAGAACGCAAAACCAAAAUACGCCCUCAGAGCAGAGGGCUCUGGCUUCCAGGCUGGCCCUGCUCCUCUUGCCUGCAAUUGUAGGACAGCAGCGACUCUCCUGGAUUCGAAGCCAGCUGUGGGCCAAAAGCCCUGGGGGAGAGGCCGGGGCGUGGUGUGUUUUGGCUAGAAAAUGCUACCCCCCAAAACAGCAGAACAUCAUCUCUCUUGCCUAUCCUCCACCCUGAAAAUGAAGAUUCAGGUUUGUAGGGAUUUUGACAUAAG